CCUACGGGAGGCAGCAGUGAGGAAUAUUGGUCAAUGGACGAGAGUCUGAACCAGCCAAGUAGCGUGAAGGAUGACUGCCCUAUGGGUUGUAAACUUCUUUUAUAUGGGAAUAAAAUGUUCCACGUGUGGGAUUUUGUAUGUACCAUAUGAAUAAGGAUCGGCUAACUCCGUGCCAGCCGCCGCGGUAAUACGGAGGAUCCGAGCGUUAUCCGGAUUUAUUGGGUUUAAAGGGAGCGUAGGUAGAUUGUUAAGUCAGUUGUGAAAGUUUGCGGCUCAACCGUAGAAUUGCAGUUGAAACUGGCAGUCUUGAGUACAGUAGAGGUGGGCGGAAUGCGUGGUGUAGCGGUGAAAUGCUUAGAUAUCACGAAGAACUCCGAUUGCGAAGGCAGCUCACUGGACUGCAACUGACACUGAGGCUCGAAAGUGUGGGUAUCAAACAGGAUUAGAUACCCUUGUAGUC
rnacentral:rRNA from 1 species